rnacentral:rRNA from 1 species
CCUACGGGAGGCAGCAGUGAGGAAUAUUGGUCAAUGGACGCAAGUCUGAACCAGCCAUGCCGCGUGCAGGAUGACGGCCCUAUGAGUUGUAAACUGCUUUUGUACGAGGGUAAACGCAGAUACGUGUAUCUUUCUGAAAGUACUGUAUGAAUAAGGAUCGGCUAACUCCGUGCCAGCAGCCGCGGUAAUACGGAGGAUCCGAGCGUUAUCCGGAUUUAUUGGGUUUAAAGGGUGCGUAGGCGGUCGGUUAAGUUAGAUGUGAAAGUCUGGGGCUCAACUUCGGAAUUGCAUCUGAUACUGGCAGUCUAGAGAGUAGUAGCGGUAGGCGGAAUGCAUGGUGUAGCGGUGAAAUGCUUAGAGAUCAGGCAGAACACCGAUGGCGAAGGCAGCUUACCAAGCUACUUCUGACGUUGAGGCACGAAAGCGUGGGGAGCAAACAGGAUUAGAUACCCUAGUAGUC